rnacentral:rRNA from 1 species
AACGAACGCUGGCGGCGUGGAUAAGACAUGCAAGUCGAACGGGACAACAUCUGUAGCAAUACAGGUGUUGUUUAGUGGCGAACGGGUGCGUAACACGUGGGCAAUCUGCCGAGAAGUGGGGGAUAGCUCGCCGAAAGGCGAAUUAAUACCGCAUAUGAUCAGUGAAGACAUCUUCACGACAUCAAAGCCGGGGCAACCUGGCGCUUCUUGAUGAGCCCGCGGCCUAUCAGCUAGUUGGUGAGGUAACGGCUCACCAAGGCUAUGACGGGUAGCUGGUCUGAGAGGACGACCAGUCACACUGGAACUGAGACACGGUCCAGACACCUACGGGUGGCAGCAGUCGAGUAAUUUUUCUCAAUGGGGCAACCCUGAAGGAGCGACGCCGCGUGGAGGAUGAAGGC